rnacentral:rRNA from 1 species
CCCUUAGAGUUUGAUCCUGGCUCAGGAUGAACGCUGGCGGCGUGCCUAACACAUGCAAGUCGAGCGAAGCACUUUGCUUAGAUUCUUCGGAUGAAGAGGAUUGUGACUGAGCGGCGGACGGGUGAGUAACGCGUGGGUAACCUGCCUCAUACAGGGGGAUAACAGUUAGAAAUGACUGCUAAUACCGCAUAAGACCACAGCACCGCAUGGUGCGGGGGUAAAAACUCCGGUGGUAUGAGAUGGACCCGCGUCUGAUUAGCUGGUUGGUAAGGUAACGGCUUACCAAGGCGACGAUCAGUAGCCGACCUGAGAGGGUGACCGGCCACAUUGGGACUGAGACACGGCCCAAACUCCUACGGGAGGCAGCAGUGGGGAAUAUUGCACAAUGGGGGAAACCCUGAUGCAGCGACGCCGCGUGAGCGAAGAAGUAUUUCGGUAUGUAAAGCUCUAUCAGCAGGGAAGAAAAU